CCUACGCGAGGCAGCAGUGAGGAAUAUUGGUCAAUGGGCGCGAGCCUGAACCAGCCAAGUAGCGUGAAGGAUGACUGCCCUACGGGUUGUAAACUUCUUUUAUAAAGGAAUAAAACGCGGCACGUGUGCCUUUUUGCAUGUACUUUAUGAAUAAGGAUCGGCUAACUCCGUGCCAGCAGCCGCGGUAAUACUGAGGAUGCGAGCGUUAUCCGGAUUUCUUGGGUUUAAAGGGUGCGUAGGCGGAAUAUCAAGUCAGCGGUAAAAAUUCGGGGCUCAACCCCGUCGUGCCGUUGAAACUGAUGUUCUUGAGUGGGCGAGAAGUAUGCGGAAUGCGUGGUGUAGCGGUGAAAUGCAUAGAUAUCACGCAGAACUCCGAUUGCGAAGGCAGCAUACCGGCGCCCAACUGACGCUGAAGCACGAAAGCGUGGGUAUCGAACAGGAUUAGAUACCCGAGUAGUC
rnacentral:rRNA from 1 species